GGAUCAGGCAUGUCUAGUAUAAGCAAACUAUACAGUGAAACUGCGAAUGGCUCAUUAAAUCAGUUAUCGUUUAUUUGAUAGUACCUUACUACUUGGAUAACCGUGGUAAUUCUAGAGCUAAUACAUGCUAAAAAUCCCGACCUCUGGAAGGGAUGUAUUUAUUAGAUAAAAAACCAAUGGCUUCGGCCUCCUUGGUGAUUCAUGAUAACUUAACGAAUCGCAUGGCCUUGUGCCGGCGAUGGUUCAUUCAAAUUUCUGCCCUAUCAACUUUCGAUGGUAGGAUAGUGGCCUACCAUGGUUUCAACGGGUAACGGGGAAUUAGGGUUCUAUUCCGGAGAGGGAGCCUGAGAAACGGCUACCACAUCCAAGGAAGGCAGCAGGCGCGCAAAUUACCCAAUCCCGACACGGGGAGGUAGUGACAAUAAAUACUGAUACAGGGCCCUUUCGGGUCUUGUAAUUGGAAUGAGUACAAUUUAAAUCCCUUAACGAGGAACAAUUGGAGGGCAAGUCUGGUGCCAGCAGCCGCGGUAAUUCCAGCUCCAAUAGCGUAUAUUAAAGUUGUUGCAGUUAAAAAGCUCGUAGUUGAACCUUGGGUCUGGCUGGCCGGUCUGCCUCACCGCAUGCACUGGUCCGGCCGGACCUUUCCUUCUGGCUAACCUCAUGCCCUUUACUGGGUGUGUUGGGGAACCAGGACUUUUACUUUGAAAAAAUUAGAGUGUUCAAAGCAGGCAUUUGCUCGAAUACAUUAGCAUGGAAUAAUAGAAUAGGACGUGCGGUUCUAUUUUGUUGGUUUCUAGGAUCGUCGUAAUGAUUAAUAGGGAUAGUCGGGGGCAUCCGUAUUCAAUUGUCAGAGGUGAAAUUCUUGGAUUUAUUGAAGACGAACUACUGCGAAAGCAUUUGCCAAGGAUGUUUUCAUUAAUCAGGAACGAAAGUUGAGGGAUCGAAGACGAUCAGAUACCGUCGUAGUCUCAACCAUAAACUAUGCCGACUAGGGAUCGGGCGAUGUACUAUUCGUGACUCGCUCGGCACCUUACGAGAAAUCAAAGUCUUUGGGUCUGGGGAGUAGGCAUG
rnacentral:rRNA from 1 species